ACGGGAGGCAGCAGUGGGGAAUAUUGGACAAUGGGGGAAACCCUGAUCCAGCGACGCCGCGUGAGUGAAGGAGUAUUUCGGUAUGUAAAGCUCUAUCAGCAAGGAAGAAAAUGACGGUACUUGACUAAGAAGCUCCGGCUAAAUACGUGCCAGCAGCCGCGGUAAUACGUAUGGAGCAAGCGUUAUCCGGAUUUACUGGGUGUAAAGGGAGCGUAGACGGCGAAGCAAGUCUGAAGUGAAAUCCCGGGGCUCAACCCCGGACCUGCAGACUGGACUGUUUCUCUUGGAUAGUUCAGGGGCAAGCGGAAUCCCUGGUGUAGCGGUGGAAUGCGUAGAGAUCAGGAAGAACACCGAUGGCGAAGGCAGCUUGCUGGGGACUUAUCGACGCUCAUGCUCGAAAGUGCGGGUAGCAAACAGGAUUAGAUACCCUGGUA
rnacentral:rRNA from 1 species